rnacentral:rRNA from 1 species
ACAGCAGCCGCCGCGGUAAUACAGAGGGUGCAAGCGUUAAUCGGAAUUACUGGGCGUAAAGCGCGCGUAGGUGGUUUGUUAAGUUGGAUGUGAAAUCCCCGGGCUCAACCUGGGAACUGCAUUCAAAACUGACUGACUAGAGUAUGGUAGAGGGUGGUGGAAUUUCCUGUGUAGCGGUGAAAUGCGUAGAUAUAGGAAGGAACACCAGUGGCGAAGGCGACCACCUGGACUAAUACUGACACUGAGGUGCGAAAGCGUGGGGAGCAAACAGGAUUAGAUACCCCAGUAGUCCCUGUCUCUUAUAC